rnacentral:rRNA from 1 species
GCCAGACUCCUACGGGAGGCAGCAGUGGGGGAUAUUGCACAAUGGGGGAAACCCUGAUGCAGCGACGCCGCGUGAGUGAAGAAGUAUUUCGGUAUGUAAAGCUCUAUCAGCAGGGAAGAAAAUGACAGUACCUGACCAAGAAGCCCCGGCUAACUACGUGCCAGCAGCCGCGGUAAUACGUAGGGGGCGAGCGUUAUCCGGAUUUACUGGGUGUAAAGGGAGCGUAGACGGCCAUGCAAGCUCGGUGUGAAAGGUGCGGGCACAACCCGCAGACUGCACUGAGAACUGUAUGGCUGGAGUGCCGGAGGGGCAGGCGGAAUUCCUGGUGUAGCGGUGAAAUGCGUAGAUAUCAGGAGGAACACCGGUGGCGAAGGCGGCCUGCUGGACGGCGACUGACGUUGAGGCUCGAAAGCGUGGGGAGCAAACAGGAUUAGAUACCCCCGUAC